UCAAAUCGAAGAGAGCAGGUUCAGCUCACGUAGAUUUUUUUUCGACAUGGCCAUGCUACAUUUCAUUCAUUGUUGGUGGAGUUACAGAGAAGUUACAGUUGUCCUGAAAAUUUACACAAAGGACCCUAGAAAGCAAAAAAUAAAAGCAAUCAAGUCCUUCUCCACUUCAGGAACAGGGACUUGACCGCCGGCCGUCCUUCUACUGGCCGAGGAUCCACUGCCGCCGCCUUGCCCUGCUCGCCUUGCCGCGCCACCGCACAGCUGCCCGGCCAUCCUCUGCACCGGCUCCCGGCCAUGCUCGCCGCGCAGACGCACGGCCCAGCUCGCCCACGCCCUGCUAGCGCCGACCACCCGCGCGUCGCUUGCAGGGCCCUCCCGCGCCGGCUGCCCUGCCAGCACCGGACCGAAGCAGUCAUGCCCUGGUCUUCGAAUCGCCACCCAACCAUGCUCGCGCGUAGCCGCACGGCCCUGCUCGCCUGCGCCCUGCUCGCCUGGCUGGGGCAACGGGGCCGGGGACGCCCGUGGCGAAGGGGGAAGGGCGACGGGAACGGCAGAAGACGUCGUGGUGGAUCCCUGCGGAGCUUCGAGGGCGACGGGGCUGAGGCCGGGGGCGACGGAGGAAGUGGCCGGGGCCGGCACGAGAGGUGGUGGCCGACGGGUGAGGUGGUGGCCGGCAGGCGAGGUGGUGGCCGGACGCCGGCAGAGCUUCGGGCGCGCCAGGGCCGUGGCCGGGGGCGACGGGGACGGGGCCAAGGCCGGGGGCGAAGGAAGAAGUGGUCGGGGCUGGCGGGAGAGGUGGUGGCUGAUGGGAGAGGUGGUGACCGGCGACGGCGUGUGGAUAA
rnacentral:rRNA from 1 species